UCUGCUUUUGGUGACGCCUGACCUUGAAUUGAAAAUGGAUGUUUGUACUUUUGUGGCUAUGUACUGUCCUAACAUAAUCUAACUUUAUGCUUUUGCCGUAAAGCCUCUUUGAAAAUCGAACAAUGUGGUUAGAUUAAGGAGAUGUUUAUCAUUUAAAUUGUGUAAAAUAGUUGAUUGUUUGAGAAAUUGAAAUUAUUAGAUUUUUGAUGUUUUGAAUUUCCAGCCUUGUUAGCAAUCCCGGCUCGGGGUUCAUUGCUAACCUGUAGCCCCAACAGGGUAUUAAGUUAAGAUCUUUUCAUUUUUCAGUUAAGUGCCUGCACCUGCUGUCCUUUCAAAUUCAAAUCCAAAUGUUUCAGUUGGGCAGUUAGGUUCCUGCAAGAACCCCGACCAACUAAGGAGGUUCCACGAUGAACCCCACCUCCUAUGGGGUUCUUGGAAGAACCUUUUGGGUGCAAUUUUCAGUGCCAAGAACCCUAAGGUUCUUUGAAGAACUUUGAGGAUCUUAGAAGAACUCUUGUUGAACCCCUAAUUUUUAGAGGGGAUCUGCUGUACCUAUGUUAUGCAGGAAAAAGUCAGUUACAAAUGAUUUUGUUUUGGUUAAAAACAGGUUGUCAUCCAGGAGGCUUUGAUUCAAUUUCCAAUAUCAUUGUGCACAUGGAAAUUCUGUAAGAAUAAUGCGGAUGCCAAUUAUUUAAUGGUCUGAUCGCAUUCUGCCCCCUAUAAAAAAAUUUUUUUUUACUUUUGGUGCCAGCGAGAAGAACACAAGAAAGUAGUCAAGACAACUAUCUUAAUUAAGGCUCCAUGUAUAUCUCAUUAGGUCAGGAUUUUAAGCCUCCUCCAUGUAUAUCUAACUAGGACAGGAUUUUUAAGCCUCCAUACAUCCACUUGUUGUAAUGUAUCCAUGACAUUCGUAAUUUCCCUAAGUGCAUGAGGGUGAUAGUUUGUAGUGUGAUUUCCUUCACGGUCCAUUGGGGUAGUUAAACCCGUAUUAUAAUCUCCCACCAUAAUAAUACAGUCAUUUGUUGCAUGUGAACUCGAUAGAGGAUUAUACAUAUUUUCAAAGAACCAUGGAUCAUCAUUAUUUGGACCGUAUAGAUUAAUUAGACAAAUCUGUUAAUGGUCCAAUAGCAUAUUUAAAAGGAUCCACCUUACUUGAGGUUCUGUUUGGACAGUUUGCAAAAUCGAUUUGAAAUUGUUAUUAAUUAAUAUCAUCACCAUCCCAGUCCUUUCCUCAUCUAUAGUUAUAGGGUAAGUUUUCCUGUAAACAAUAAAUAUUAUACCUUGUCCGUAGACUGCUUACAGGGUAAAGAAACCAACAUGUAAUUUGUCAUUUAGGUGAAGUAUCCCCUUAACAAGUUCAGGCAUGAAUUCCAAGUGGUUAGGGCUAAGGUUUGGGUAAGAGUUAAAACAGAGAGUGCCUAGCACUGGGAUUGAAUCUGCGAUGUUCGGAGUCGUAGCUCACCAUAGCUCAUAAUCCAUCCCCAUUGCCAUUUAUCAUCAGUUGAACGCUACUAGCGCACCACUAGCUAGAUAUUUGACAUCGGUUACAUCUCCACCAGAGAGGGUGGAAACACUCCUAACCUCCAAACCUGGCAGGCCUUCACUAAUGAGGAAUACGGGCUAGGCUGUCAGUGGGUUCAUUAAUGGAUCAAGGUUGCUUCCUUAACACAAACACACUGACAGAGGAAGUGAACGGAGCAAGAUUGUUUCCUUAACACAAACACACUGACAGAGGAAGUGAACGGAGCAAGGUUGUUUCCUUAACACAAACACACUGACAGAGAAAGUGAACGGAGCAAGGUUGUUUCCUUAACACAAACACACUGACAGAGAAAGUGAACGGAGCAAGGUUGUUUCCUUAACACAAUCACACUGACAGAGGAAGUGAACGGAGCAAGGUUGUUUCCUUAACACAAUCACACUGACAGAGGAAGUGAACGGAGCAUGGUUGCUUCCUCUGCAGAAAGACAGCAUCUAGCCCAAACACACACUCCUAUGAGUCAGCAGUUUAUGGGGAGCGUACUGUACAGUGCUUGUGAGCCAGUGGCUAAACUACCAAUCAUUUGGAAGGAAUGCCAUAAUUACUUUUGUAGGGUAAAAAGAGCAAGAAAAAAUGAAAGUUGAAGGUCCACAUCAGACUACAGUCUCUAAUAACACAGUUUCUCUCCCUCUGUAUUCGUUCCAGCCCCUCAGGGACCAAUGAAUGCCAACUUUCUGAUACACAGUUUGAUAGGAAGGCCUGUUUAGCUCUCUAACAAAUAUCAAUGUGGAAGUUUUACCUGUUGUUUCAACAAAUACUUUUCCGUAAAGGAGUAACUACUGCCUCCCCUGAUUCGUUUAAGGGUGUGCUUAUCUCUCCUGAAUGUCAACGGUAAUAAACAGUGCUAAACAUAAUAAUCGAUAAUACUCGUCAACAUACUUCAAAUCAAACCAUAUUCUAUUAAUCACAUGCACCUAAUACAACUGGUGUAGACUUUACAGUGAAACGCUUGCUCACAAACAUUUCCCAACUAUGCACAGUGGGGGAAAAAAGUAUAACUAAAACAAGAGGAAUGAAAUAAAAUACACAAGAAUGGAGCUAUUUACAGGAAGUACCAGUACCAGAUCACUGUGGAGCUAUAUACUGGGAGUACCAGUACCAGAUCAAUGUGGAGCUAUACACAGGGAGUACCAGUACCAGAUCAAUGUGGAGCUAUAUACUGGGAGUACCAGUAUCAGAUCAAUGUGGAGCUAUAUACAGGGAGUACCAGUACCAGAUCAAUGUGGAGCUAUACACAGGGAGUACCAGUACCAGAUCAAUGUGGAGCUAUAUACUGGGAGUACCAGUACCAGAUCAAUGUGGAGCUAUAUACAGGGAGUACCAGUACCAGAUCACUGUGGAGUUAUUUACAGAGAGUAUAAGUACCAGAUCACUGUGGAGUUAUAUACAGGGAGUACCAGUACCAGAUCAAUGUGGAGCUAUAUACAGGGAGUACCAGUACCUGAUCAAUGUGGAGUUAUAUACAGGGAGUACCAGUACCACAUCAAUGUGGAGCUAUAUACAGGGAGUAUCAGUACCAGACCAAUGUGGAGCUAUAUACAGGGAGUACCAGUACCAGAUCAAUGUGGAGCUAUAUACAGGGAGUACCUGUACCAGAUCAACGUGGAGCUAUAUACAGGGAGUACCAGUACCAGAUCAAUGUUGAGCUAUAUACAGGGAGUACCAGUACCAGGUCAAUGUGGAGCUAUAUACAGGGAGUACCAGUACCAGAUCAAUGUGAGGCUACAUACAGGGAGUACCAGUACCAAAUCAAUGUGGAGCUAUAUACAGGGAGUACCAGUACCAGAUCAAUGUGGAGCUAUAUACAGGCAGUACCAGUACCAGAUCAAUGUGGAGCUAUACACAGGGAGUAUCAGUACUAGAUCAAUGUGGAGCUAUAUACAGGGAGUACCAGUGCCAGAUCAAUGUAGACUUAUAUACAGGGAGUACCAGUACCAGAUCAAUGUUAGGCUAUAUACAGGGAGUACCAGUACCAGAUCAAUGUGGAGCUAUACACAGGGAGGACCAGUACCAGAUCAAUGUGGAGUUAUAUACAGGGAGUACCAGUACCAGAUCAAUGUAGACUUAUAUACAGGGAGUACCAGUACCAGAUCAAUGUGGAGCUAUAUACAGGCAGUACCAGUACCAGAUCAAUGUGAAGCUAUAUAUACGGAGUACCAGUACCAGAUCAAUGUGGAGCUAUAUACAGGGAGUAUCAGUACCAGAUCAAUGUGGGGCUAUAUACAGGGAGUACCAGUACCAGUACCAGAUCAAUGUGGAGUUAUAUACAGGGAGUACCAGUACCAGAUCAAUGUGGAGCUAUAUACAGGGAGUACCAGUACCAGAUCAAUGUGGAGCUAUAUACAGGGAGUACCAGUACCAGAUCAAUGUGGAGCUAUAUACAGGGAGUACCAGUACCAGAUCAAUGUGGAGCUAUAUACAGGGAGUACCAGUACCAGAUCAAUGUGGAGCUAUAUACAGGGAGUAUCAGUACCAGAUCAAUGUGGAGCUAUACACAGGGAGUAUCAGUACCAGAUCAACGUAGAGCUGUAUACAAGGAGUACAAGUACCAGAUCAAUGUGGAGCUAUAUACAGGGAGUACCAGUACCAGAUCAAUGUGGAGCUAUAUACAGGGAGUAUCAGUGCCAGAUCAAUGUGGAGCUAUAUACAGGGAGUACCAGUACCAGGUCAAUGUGGAGUUAUAUACAGGGAGUACCAGUACCAGAUCAAUGUGAGGCUAUAUACAGGGAGUACCAGUACCAGAUCAAUGUGGAGCUAUAUACAGGCAGUACCAGUACCAGAUCAAUGUGAAGCUAUAUACAGGGAGUACCAGUACCAGAUCAAUGUGGAGCUAUAUACAGGCAGUACCAGUACCAGAUCAAUGUGGAGCUAUAUACAGGGAGUACCAGUACCAGCUCAAUUUGGAGCUAUAUACAGGCAGUACCAGUACCAGAUCAAUGUGGAGCUAUUCACAGGGAGUACCAGUACCAAAUCAAUGUGGAGCUAUAUACAGGGAGUCCCAGUACCAGAUCAAUGUGGAGCUAUUUACAGGGAGUAUCAGUACCAGAUCAAUGUGGGGCUAUAUACAGGGAGUACCAGUACCAGAUCAAUGUAGAGUUAAAUACAGGGAGUACCAGUACCAGAUCAAUGUGGAGCUAUAUACAGGGAGUACCAGUACCAGAUCAAUGUGGAGUUAUAUACAGGGAGUACCAGUACCAGAUCAAUGUGGAGUUAUAUACAGGGAGUACCAGUACCAGAUCAAUGUGGAGCUAUAUACAGGGAGUACCAGUACCAGAUCAAUGUGGAGUUAUAUACAGGGAGUACCAGUACCAGAUCAAUGUGGAGCUAUAUACAGGCAGUACCAGUACCAGAUCAAUGUGGAGUUAUACACAGGGAGUACCAGUACCAGAUCAAUAUGGAGCUAUACACAGGGAGUGCCAGUACCAGGUACUUGAGUUAAAUACAGUAUGUACUUGAAGGCAGGUUAAAAGUGAUCAGGAAUCAAGAUAGAUAGUAAUGCACGUAAAACAAAGAAUGGAGUAGCAGCAGCAAAUGAUUAGUGCAAAAGUGUGAGUGUGUGAGUGUGCGUGUAUGUAUUUUUCUUUGUAGUGUUUGAAUGUGUGAGGAAUUUGUGUGGGAGUGACAGUGUAGUGGGUGUGAAUGGUUGUGUAUGUGUUGUGUACAAUGCAUUCGGAAAGCAUUCAGACCCCUUGACUUUUACAAAAUUGUGUUACGUUACAGCCUUAUUACAAAAGUAAUUAAAUAACAUUUUUUUCCUCAUCAUUGCACACAAUACCCCAUAAUGAUAAAGAGAAAACAGGUUUUAAAAAAACAGAAAUACCUUAUUUACAUAAGUAUUCAGACACUUUGCAAUAAGACUCGAAAUUGAGCUCAGGUGCAUUCUUUUUCCAUUGAUCAUCCUUGAGAUGUUUCUACAACUUGAUUGGAGUGCACCUGUGGUAAACUCAAUUGUUGGACAUGAUUUGGAAAGGCACACACAUGUCUAUGUAAGGUCCCACAGAAGACAGCGCAUAUUAGAGCAAAAAUCAAGCCAUGGGGUCAAAGGAAUUGUCCGUAGUGCUCCGAGACAGGAGUGUGUCGAGGCACAGAUCUGGGGAAGGGUACCAAAAAAUUCUGCAGCACAGUUGACUCCAUCACUCUUAAAUGGAAGAACUUUGGUUGCACCAAGACUUUUCCUAGAGCUGGCCGCCCAGCCAAGCUGAGAAAUCUGGGGAGAAGGGCCUUAGUCAGGAGGUGACCAAGAACCGGAUGGUCACUCUGACAGAGCUCUAGAGUUCCUCUGUAGAGAUGGGAGAACCUCUGGUUCUCUGGUCUGAUGAAACCGAGAUUGAACUCUUUGGCCUGAUUGCCAAGCGUCACGUCUGGAGGAAACCUGGCACCAUCCCUAUGGUGAAGCAUGAUGGUGGCAGCAUCAUGCUGUGGAGAUGUUUUUCAGAGGCAAGGACUGGGAGAUUAGUCAGGAUCGAGGGAAAGAUGAACAGAGCAAAGUACAGAGAGGUCUUUGAUGAAAACCUGCUCCAGAGCGUUGAGGACCACAUACUGGGGCGAAGGUUCACCUUUCAGCAGGACAAUGACCCUAAUCACACAACCAAGACAACACAGGAGUGGCUUCAGGACAAGUCUCUGAAUGUCCUUGAGCGGCCCAGCCAGAGCCCGGACUUGAAACCGAUCGAACAUCUCUGGAGAAACCUGAAAAUAACAGUGCAGCGACACUCCCCAUCCAACCUGACAGAGCUUGAGAGGAUCUGUAGAGACAAAAGGGAGAAACUCCCCAAAUACAGGUGUGCGAAGCUUGUAGCGUCAUACCCAAGAAGACAUGAGGUUGUCAUUGCUGCCAAUGGUGCUUCAACAAAGUACUGAGUAAAGGGUCUAAAAAGUAUUUAAAUGUGAUAUUGUUGUGUCAUUAUAGGGUAUUGUGUGUAGAUUGAUGAGCGGAAAAAACUAUUUAAUCAAUUUUAGAAUAAGGCUGUAACAUAAUACAAUUCUGAAAAAGUAAAGGGGUUUGAAUACAUUCCGAACGCACUGUAUAUAACGUCUAGUGAGUGUCUGUAGGGUCAGUGCAGAUUGGGUACUAUUAAUUGACUAUUUAGCUGUCUGGUUAUUUUGCAGUCAUAUGUCUUGGUUGUAAAAGCUGUCUCGGAGCCUGUUGGUCCUUAGAGCCGAUGCUCAGGUAUCAUUUGCUGGACGAUAGCAGAGUGAACAGUCUAUAGAUUGUGUGGCUGGAGUCGUUGGCAAUUUUUCGGGUCUUUCUCUGACACUGCCUGAUAUAGAGGUCCUGGAUGGCAGGGAGCUCGGUCCCAGUGAUGUACUGGGCUGUCCACACCACCCUUUGUAUCGCUUUGCUGUCAAGGGCGGUGCAAUUGCCACACCAAGCGGUGAUGCAGCCACUCAAGAUGCUCUCGAUGGUGCAGCUGUAGAACUUUUUGAGGAUCCAAAUCUUUUCAGCCUCCUGAAGGGGAAGAGGCGGUGCUGUGUCCUCUUCGUGACUGUGCGGGUGUGUGUGGACCAUGUUAAGUCCUCAGUGAUGUGACGCCAAGGAACUUAAAGCUCUCAAGCUGCUCCACAACACCCCUGUCAAUGUGGAUGGGGGUGUGCUUUCCCUUCUUUCUCCUAUAGUCCACAAUCAGCUCAUUGGUCUUUCUUGACAUUGAGGGAGAGGUUGUUGUCCUGUCACCACACUGCUAAGUCUCUGACCUCUUCCCUAUAGCCUGACUCAUCGCGGUCGGUGAUCAGGCCUACAACUGCAAACUUGAUGAUGGUGUUGCAGUCUAGGAGGGGUAUAGGAGGGGACUAAGCACAUACCCCUGAGGGGCCCCUGUGUUGAGGGCCAGCGUGGCAGAGGUGUUGUUGUCUACCGUCACCACCUGGGGCAGACCAGUCAAGAAGUCUAGGAUCCAGUUUCAGAGGCAGGUGUUCAGUCCCAGGGUCCCUAGCUUAGUAAUGAGCUUGGUGUUAAACACUGAGCUGUACUCUGAACAGCAUUCUAAGAGUUAUUUCUCCUCUUGUCCAGGUGGGAGAGGGAUCUGAGUGGAUCUGUUGAUGCGGUAUAUGAAUUGGAGUGGGUCUAGGGUGUCUGGGAUUAUGGUGUCGAAGUGUGUCAUGACCAGCAUUUCAAAGCACUUCAUAAUUACAGAUGUGAGUGGCACAGGGUGGUAAUCAUUUAGACAUGUUACCUUGGAUCUCUUGGGAACAGGGACAAUGGUGGUCAGCUUGAAACAUGUUGGGAAUGGGACAAGACUGGGACAAGGAGAGUUUGAAAAUGUUAACCUCUUGGGGCUAUGUGGGACGCUAGCGUGCCACCCGUGGUGUACCCUAUCAACAGCAGGUGCAUUUCAAGAGCGGCAAAUUUGAAACCAAAUAAAUGUCAAAAUUCAAAUUUUUCAAACAUACAACUAUCUUACACCCUUUGAAAGAUAAACAUCUCCUUAAUCUAACCACGUUGUCCGAUUUCAAAAAGGUUUUACGGCGAAAGCAUAAAGUUAGAUUAUGUUAGGAGAGUACAUUGACAAUAGCUGUGUGUAAUGUUUUGUCAAUUCAAAG
rnacentral:lncRNA from 1 species